rnacentral:tRNA from 1 species
GCCGGCAUAGCUCAGUGGUAGAGCAGCUGAUUCGUAAUCAGCAGGUCCGGGGUUCGAAUCCCCGUGCCGGCU